UGGUAGAUGCACCCUGAUAACUAACUCCCCUGGCUGGCUGCCACCACCGGGGGUUUUUUAU
rnacentral:sRNA from 1 species